rnacentral:rRNA from 1 species
GAUGAACGCUGGCGGCGUGCCUAACACAUGCAAGUCGAGCGAACAGAUGAGAAGCUUGCUUCUCUGAUGUUAGCGGCGGACGGGUGAGUAACACGUGGGUAACCUACCUAUAAGACUGGGAUAACUCCGGGAAACCGGGGCUAAUACCGGAUAAUAUUUUGAACCGCAUGGUUCAAUAGUGAAAGACGGUUUCGGCUGUCACUUAUAGAUGGACCCGCGCCGUAUUAGCUAGUUGGUAAGGUAACGGCUUACCAAGGCGACGAUACGUAGCCGACCUGAGAGGGUGAUCGGCCACACUGGAACUGAGACACGGUCCAGACUCCUACGGGAGGCAGCAGUAGGGAAUCUUCCGCAAUGGGCGAAAGCCUGACGGAGCAACGCCGCGUGAGUGAUGAAGGUCUUCGGAUCGUAAAACUCUGUUGUUAGGGAAGAACAAAUUUGUUAGUAACUGAACAAGUCUUGACGGUACCUAACCAGAAGGCCACGGCUAACUACGUGCCAGCAGCCGCAGUAAUAC